GAAAAGCCUUUUCGUAGAGGAAUGUUCUAUUUUUAAUGAAUACAAGCGUUAGUGCCAAACACGCUUUUAUAUUUUGUGUUGAAGUCAUGUUUAGAAAUAGCAUUUUUCUCAUAAUCUUUUUUGCAGCAUUUUCGCAAUUUGUAUUGGUAUACUUUAUAUCGUCGUUCAAUUCUAUGUUCCAAUUAUUAUUUUUAAUGUUAGCUGACCCAACACUCAAAUCAUGUGUCCGUACCUGCAGUUCUGCCUCAAACUUUUCUGUCUCAAAUUCAUGCAUUUCCUUUCCAACAAUUCCUCUGACAAAUGAAGUUUUCUCAAAAUUCGGACUUUGAAUGGGAAAAUGGGUAGCAUCCUGUUCUUGCUGAAGUGGAAGCAAGGGCUUCAAUUCUUCCACUUGAUGUCAUGAUAUAGAGAACUCAGCAUUGUCAAUGUGGGUUGUCAAAACAUGGAGAUUGUUUAAGAAGCAGACACCAUAGGUGAAAAGAACAGGAGCCGGGCAAAAUAGAAAGAACCAAAAAAAGAAAAAGAAAAGGUAGUUCCUUUAAUAACUAUCCGAAGUUUUUUCCUGUAGCUAACCGAAUAUUUAUAUUCCUAAUGUGUUUCGGUUCAAUAACUUCAUGCAUGCAGAUAUGUGUAUUCUGAAGGGCCUCGAGAAGAAUCUUAGAAGAUGAAUGUAUCGGUGGCUUAUUGUAUCUUGGAGAAUAAUACUGAAAUCCUCCCUGGAUCUUGUACAAAAAGUAUCUCAAGUAUGAGAAGUCUCUAGGCGAUGAAGAGCAGAUUGACUGGAUUCUGGUGUUUUGUAGAGAAGCUUGUGCUUGAUCGGUGGAGAACAUUUAUUCCAUUGGGAUUUCUCCAGUGGGAGAACUCUUGGUUAAGCAUGAUGGGAGAGAAGCAGCUCUAGCUACGUUUGCUGACGGUAAAUACACAAACCAUCAAGAGCCUUGUUUCUCUAGGUUCUACCCAAACAACUGCCCGUUUGGAAUGCAUCUAGUUUCAGACACAUUAUAAGACAAGGUUAAGCAUGAUGGGAGAGAAGCAGCUCUAGCUACGUUUGCUGACAGUAAAUACACAAACCAUCAAGAGCCUUGUUUCUCUAGGUUCUACCCAAACAACUGCCCGUUUGGAAUGCAUCUAGUUUCAGACACAUUAUAAGACAAUAAUCAAACCAAAUGGACACUGAUCAUUUGUUGCUGAUUAUGUUACUGACAUCAUUUGGAUCUUGGUUGUUAAGAAUACGAAAUAAUUUGGUUAUGUUAUUUGUAGAUGGAUA